CAGUCGCCGCGGGAAUACGAAGGGGGCUAGCGUUGUUCGGAUUUACUGGGCGUAAAGGGCGCGUAGGCGGGCUUAUCAGUCAGGGGUGAAAUCCCAAGGCUCAACCUUGGAACUGCCUUUGAUACUGUUUGUCUUGAGUUCGAGAGAGGUAAGUGGAACUGCGAGUGUAGAGGUGAAAUUCGUAGAUAUUCGCAAGAGCACCAGUGGCGAAGGCGGCUUACUGGCUCGAAACUGACGCUGAGGCGCGAAAGCGUGGGGAGCAAACAGGAUUAGAUACCCCUGUAGUCCCUGUCUCUUAUAC
rnacentral:rRNA from 1 species